CCCAACAGCAUUAGCAAAGGCAAGUGCAAAACUACUGGGUUCUGGGUAAAUUAGUUCAUUCACACAGAAUAAAUACCCUCCUCCCCAGAUGGAGCCAAAGCUUUCAGAGAGCCUCUGCUUCUGGGACAGGGAAAAUUCCAGGCCUUACAAAUCACUGGAGUUGUUUUCUCCCCAGGAGCUGUUUGUCUCUAGCUUGGUCUUGGCAGAGAGAGGCUGACCUGUGUUCUGGAGCUGUGUGAAGAGCCUCCUGGCCCUCACCCCAGGGGAGCAGCUGAAGGACAUUCCUGCCUGGAUGGAGUCGUUUCAGCACAUCAGUGCUGCUGUCUGGAGUGCUGAGUCUUGCAGAAGUGGCAGCCCAAGAGCAGGUAAAGCAUCUUGGCCUGACAGGCUCCAUCUGAGCCCUGAUUUGAGGUCAGGGUUGCAUUUGCCACUCCUGUUUGGCCAAGGAGUCAGCUUUAGGAUGCAAGCACCAUGUUUGGGAGGUUUCCUGAUGUUUUUGCAGCUCCCAGCUACUACAGCUGUCAGCAGCACAAGAGGUGCCUGAUGGUGCAGGAAAAAACAACCUGUCACCCUUCAGAGCAGGAAACCAGCUCCUUCAUCCCACGCUGCCACCCACGUGGGGAAGAAGUUAAAGCAGAAUUAUCCCAGAGGAGCAGAAUUGCUACAAUGUGAUGCUCAGAGAUUAUGCUGUAGAUUAAGGUUUUACUAAAUCCUGAAAUGAGUGGAAAUUCUCAGAAGCUCUAACAUGUGGCCAAAUCUCUUCUGGAUGCCCAGCUGGAUGGGGCACCACCCUGUUCUCCCCCCCUGCCCUGCAGGAAGGACAGAGCCCAGAUCUUCACCCCAGCUUGUCUGCUGAGAGCCUGCAGGUAAGAACAGGGUUCUUUUGGGAUGGAAAGGUGGAGCAGUGUGUUUUGUACUGCCUACAACUCUGGAGGAUCCAUCUUUCCUGCUCUGGGAUGUGCUCAAGGUCACUCCAGCUGGCAGAGGGUCUGACCCCAGGGCAUCCCCGGACCGGGGUGGGGGGACAGUCCCCACCUGCCUUCCGUGGGUCCCCCCUGCCGGGCUCUGAAAAGAGCUCAUGUGCUGAAGGGGGAUAUUUAGGGGUUGUUUUUUUUUAUAUACCCAUUUUGUAACCUCAUUCAAUUUUAACGCCGAGUGGGUGGAAGGAGGGAGGUUUCCCGCCGUCAGGGGCCGGGGGGUUGCAGCCGAAGGGGCGGUUGGCAAGUUCUCCCCGAACAAAAGGGCUCUUGUCUCGCAGCGGGCGAGAGGAGGGCUCGUGUUUUUCAAGCCCAGCAAGGGAGGGGUCGGUGGCGCUGAUGUGGCACCGGCUGGUGAGGGAGCAGCUCUGCUGCCCGCGGGAUGGAUGAGCCGGCGCUUCCUCCUCUGCCCCGGGGAGUCCCCGGGGGUGUGGAGCCCUGACGUGGCAGCCUCCGGGGUGAGCCUGGAGGAACCUCCUGCACCUUCACUGAGAUCCAACCGUCCUGGAGGUGCUGCUGCUCCUGCCCUCGGCUUCCCAGCCUCGACGCUGGAGAUGAUGAUUCCCGUGCAGCGGGGAAG